GUGAAUCAUCGAAUUUUUGAACGCAAAUUGCGCUUCCUGGUAUCCCGGGAAGUAUGCCUGUUUGAGGGUCAGUAUUAACAAAAAAUCGGUUUGGUGGUGAAUUGUGACGUUUCCGGAGGGUGGGGUGAUCUUAACUUUUUUGGUUAAGGGGCUUAAAAUUGACAUUUUUUGCGCAAUUUUAGUCGUACAUAAAUUCUUUUGAUUCGUAUAUU
rnacentral:misc_RNA from 1 species